GGAUGUGAGGAUGAUCUGGCUGUGACUUCUGUCACCCCAUUGAUUGCUAGGGUUGAAUCAGCUGAUGUGCCUGGCUAGGUGGGUCCUCUUCCUCUUUCACUGCUCCUUGUGUGUGCCCUCCAGAAGCUACAAGUUGUGUCAUAGAGGGCAAUCAUCCCAGAUAGAAGAGGACUGUUACCUCUGUGAAGAGUUUAGGAGUUGCUGUGCUCUCCUGCUAGAACCUCCAAACAAGCUCUCAUAAUUUUCAGGAACCUGCCUUUUCCUCAGAUGGUAACUGGCAGCAGCAUUCACCAUAUUUUUUGAAUCACACAUCAUGAAGACAGU
rnacentral:snRNA from 1 species